GUGCCAGCAGCCGCGGUAAUACCGGCAGCCCGAGUGAUGGCCGAUCUUAUUGGGCCUAAAGCGUCCGUAGCUGGCUGCGCAAGUCCGUCGGGAAAUCCACCCGCUUAACGGGUGGGCGUCCAGCGGAAACUGUUCGGCUUGGAGCCGGAAGACCCGAGGGGUACGUCCGGGGUAGGAGUGAAAUCCCGUAAUCCUGGACGGACCGCCGGUGGCGAAAGCGCCUCGGGAGGACGGACUCGACAGUGAGGGACGAAAGCUAGGGUCUCGAACCGGAUUAGAAACCCCAGUAGUCC
rnacentral:rRNA from 1 species